rnacentral:lncRNA from 1 species
AAUUCUAGACAUUCCAUGGCUCGUGGUUACAUGUUCAAGUUCAAUCCGGUAAGAUAAUUUCCAUGGUUAUUUUCAUUACUGUUUACAGGGACUAUAUUUAAAACGAAAUAUGAAAAAUGAGGACUAUAAACUAAUUUUGCAUAUUUAUAAACAACAAAAUUGUGUUUUUUUGAGUUUUAAGUUUUGCCACGUGCUAGUCACGUGAAAGGGUAGUUUGGUUAUUAUGAAAAUAUGGAUGCCUUGACUCUGGUCAACUGGGUUGACUGACAGUCAAGUGACGGAAAAAAUGACCAUUUACUAAAAAACGGUAAAGAUUGGACUAAAUGCUAAUUACCCAUCCUCUAGAGGGACCAAAUACAAAAUAACAUAUUAAUCAACUUAUAACAUUUGAAACAGACAUGGUUGCGCGACUUUAAAGGGCAGAAGAGAAGAAAGAAAGCAAAUUCAGGUGAGAUUCAAAAUAAGGAAGACAUGUACUGGAAGGAAGUGAGAUUAAAAAAUUCAAUGGAAAAGAUACGCUCUUUUUGUUUCCAUUAAACACUUCAAAGAACUGUUAGAGAUAAGGCUAGGUAUCACUGGAGUCUUUUUGUGCCCGAGAAAGGUUUUGGAUGGACUCUUUAUAACUCUCUUGCUGGAAACAAAACUUACGACAGACGUGUUCUGAACGAUUGUAAAGCCAUUGUGAGUUAACUUUCUUCAACUAUUGUAGGUUUGUAACAAUUUUAUAAGGGGUAUUUUGUAUUUGGUCCCUCUAGAAGAUAGGUAAUUAAUAUUUGGUCCAAUCUUUAUCGUUUAUUAGUAAAUGGUCCAUUUUCCGUCACUUGACUGUCAGUCAACCCAGUUGACUAGAGUCAAGGCAUCCAUAUUUUCUUAAUGACCAAACUACCCUUUCACGUGACAAAACUUAAAAGUCAAAAAACACAAUUUAGUUGUUUGUAAACAUGCAAAAUUAGUUUAUGGUCCUCCUUUUUCAUAUUUCGUUUCAAAUAUAGUCCCUGUAAAAAAUAAUGGAAAUAACCAUGGAAGUUAUCUUACCUUAGUUGGAGUGAAGUAGAACAUGUAACCACCACCCAUGGAACCUCUAGAAGUUUAUUCUCUUGUAUUUACAAUCAAGUGAAGAAAAAUUCUAGACAUUCCAUGGCUCGUGGUUACAUGUUCAAGUUCAAUCCGGUAAGAUAAUUUUCAUGGUUAUUUUCAUUACUGUUUACAGGGACUAUAUUUAAAACGAAAUAUGAAAAAUGAGGACUAUAAACUAAUUUUGCAUGUUUACAAACAACUAAAUUGUGUUUUUUGACUUCUAAGUUUUGUCACGUGAAAGGGUAGUUUGGUCAUUAAAAAAAUAUGGAUGCCUUGACUCUGGUCAACUGGGUUGACUGACAGUCAACUGACGGAAAUGGACAAUUUAUUAAUAAACGAUAAAGAUUGGACCAAAUGCUAAUUACCAAUCUUCUAGAGGGACCAAAUACAAAAUAACCCAUUUUAUAAUGAUUCAAAAUUUUACCUAACUUUUAACAUUUGAAACAGGCCAAAUAUGUCACUCCUUUGCUGAACAAGAAACUAAUCAAACCUGGAGAUAUUAGUUACAAAGAUGGACCUAUAAAUGAAGCACUUGAUUUCCCGCAUGAAGGCUCUUCGUAAGCUUUAGAAUUUUGAAUUGUUAUUCCUUAUUACGAUGAAUGCAAUUUGAUUUAUGCAUUAAUUAAAUAUUUUAGGGUGGAUUGCGCAUUGUUUGUAUGCAAAUUCAUGGAGCACGCAAUUUCUGAAAGUGAAAUAUUUUGGUCAGACUAUGGAGUGGAAAUAAUGGACUUGAUGAGGGAUACAAUAGCAUAUGAACUACUGACUGAACCAUGACUAAGUUUUGAUAAGGAAGUAUGGGAUGAACAACAAUUUCUAGUUUCCCUAGAUGCAGCAGAAAAAAAAGAUAUUUGAAGAGAAAGAAAAGGAAAAGGCAGCAGCUCAACAACUAUAAAUUUAGGUGUUCAAAAGUCAGUAUAGUUGAAAAGGGAUUACCCCGAAUCCGAGGUCCCGACUUUUUGUGUUUUGAAUUUGUCAAUAGUAUAUGAUGUGAAUACUAACAGUUUUAUACAUUUCUGUUAUUUUGUAACUACUGAAUUCUUAUGGUUAUAUUAUAUCAAUAGAAAGGUUAUUUGCUUUUUUUCUGGUAUUUAAAAA